UACGAAGGGGGCUAGCGUUGCUCGGAAUCACUGGGCGUAAAGGGUGCGUAGGUGGGCAGGUAAGUCAGUGGUGAAAUCUCCGAGCUUAACUAGGAAACUGCCGUUGAUACUAUUUGUCUUGAAUAUUGUGGAGGUAAGCGGAAUAUGUCAUGUAGCGGUGAAAUGCUUAGAUAUGACAUAGAACACCAGUUGCGAAGGCAGCUUACUACACAACGAUUGACGCUGAGGCACGAAAGCGUGGGGAUCAAACAGG
rnacentral:rRNA from 1 species